rnacentral:rRNA from 1 species
GGUUAAGUUAGAAAGGGCGCACGGUGGAUGCCUUGGCACUAGGAGCCGAAGAAGGACGGGACUAACACCGAUAUGCUUUGGGGAGCUGUACGUAAGCGUUGAUCCAGAGAUUUCCGAAUGGGGGAACCCACUAUCUUUAGUCGGAUAGUAUCCUUACGUGAAUACAUAGCGUGAGGAAGGCAGACCCAGGGAACUGAAACAUCUAAGUACCUGGAGGAAGAGAAAGAAAAAUCGAUUUCCUGAGUAGCGGCGAGCGAAACGGAAAGAGCCCAAACCAAGAAGCUUGCUUCUUGGGGUUGUAGGACACUCUAUACGGAGUUACAAAAGAAAGUUAUAAAUGAAGCGGUCUGGAAAGGCCCGCCAAAGACGGUAACAGCCCGGUAGUUGAAAUGGCUUUCCCUCCAGAGUGGAUCCUGAGUACGGCGGAACACGUGAAAUUCCGUCGGAAUCCGGGAGGACCAUCUCCCAAGGCUAAAUACUCCCUAGUGACCGAUAGUGAACCAGUACCGUGAGGGAAAGGUGAAAAGCACCCCGGAAGGGGAGUGAAACAGUUCCUGAAACCGUGUGCCUACAAGUAGUUAGAGCCCGUUAAUGGGUGAUAGCGUGCCUUUUGUAGAAUGAACCGGCGAGUUACGAUUUGUUGCAAGGUUAAGCGGAAAAAGCGGAGCCGUAGCGAAAGCGAGUCUGAAUAGGGCGCAUAAGUAACAGGUCGUAGACCCGAAACCAGGUGAUCUACCCAUGUCCAGGAUGAAGGUAAGGUAAUACUUACUGGAGGUCCGAACCCACGCACGUUGAAAAGUGCGGGGAUGAGGUGUGGGUAGCGGAGAAAUUCCAAUCGAACUUGGAGAUAGCUGGUUCUCUCCGAAAUAGCUUUAGGGCUAGCCUCGAGGUAAAGAGUCAUGGAGGUAGAGCACUGUUUGGACUAGGGGCCCUUCUCGGGUUACCGAAUUCAGAUAAACUCCGAAUGCCAUGUACUUAUACUCGGGAGUCAGACUGCGAGUGAUAAGAUCCGUAGUCGAAAGGGAAACAGCCCAGACCACCAGUUAAGGUCCCCAAAUAUAUGUUAAGUGGAAAAGGAUGUGGGGUUGCUUAGACAACCAGGAUGUUGGCUUAGAAGCAGCCACCAUUGAAAGAGUGCGUAAUAGCUCACUGGUCGAGUGACCCCGCGCCGAAAAUGUACCGGGGCUAAACAUAUUACCGAAACUGUGGAUGAACCUCUUUAGAGGUUCGUGGUAGGAGAGCGUUCUAAGGGCGGUGAAGUCAGACCGGAAGGACUGGUGGAGCGCUUAGAAGUGAGAAUGCCGGUAUGAGUAGCGAAAGAAGGGUGAGAAUCCCUUCCACCGAAUAUCUAAGGUUUCCUGAGGAAGGCUCGUCCGCUCAGGGUUAGUCGGGACCUAAGCCGAGGCCGAUAGGCGUAGGCGAUGGACAACAGGUAGAGAUUCCUGUACCAGUGCUAAUUGUUUAACCGAUGGGGUGACACAGAAGGAUAGGGAAUCGCACGAAUGGAAAUGUGCGUCCAAGCAGUGAGUGUGAGAAGUAGGCAAAUCCGCUUCUCGCGAAGCAUGAGCUGUGAUGGGGAAGGAAAUUAAGUACGGAAGUUCCUGAUUUCACGCU